rnacentral:rRNA from 1 species
CUACGGAGGGGGCUAGCGUUGUUCGGAAUUACUGGGCGUAAAGCGUACGCAGGCGGAUAUUUAAGUUAGAGGUGAAAUCCCAGGGCUCAACCCUGGAACUGCCUUUAAAACUGGGUAUCUAGAGUUAUGGAGAGGUAAGUGGAAUUCCUAGUGUAGAGGUGAAAUUCGUAGAUAUUAGGAGGAACACCAGAGGCGAAGGCGGCUUACUGGACAUAUACUGACGCUGAGGUACGAAAGUGUGGGGAGCGAACGGGAUUAGAAACCCCAGUAGUCC